rnacentral:rRNA from 1 species
CCUACGGGGAGCAGCAGGGGGGGAUAUUGCACAAUGGGCGCAAGCCUGAUGCAGCGACGCCGCGUGAGCGAAGAAGUAUUUCGGUAUGUAAAGCUCUAUCAGCAGGGAAGAAAAUGACGGUACCUGACUAAGAAGCUCCGGCUAAAUACGUGCCAGCAGCCGCGGUAAUACGUAUGGAGCAAGCGUUAUCCGGAUUUACUGGGUGUAAAGGGAGCGUAGGCGGCUCUGUAAGUCUGAUGUGAAAAUUUGGGGCUCAACCCCAAACGUGCAUUGGAAACUGCAGGGCUUGAGUGCCGGAGAGGCAGGCGGAAUUCCUAGUGUAGCGGUGAAAUGCGUAGAUAUUAGGAGGAACACCAGUGGCGAAGGCAGCAUACCGGCGCCCAACUGACGCUGAAGCACGAAAGCGUGGGUAUCGAACAGGAUUAGAUACCCCAGUAGUC